rnacentral:tRNA from 1 species
GGCCCCAUCGUCUAGCUAGGUCUAGGACGGGUGGUUCUCAGCCAUCAAACACCGGUUCAAAUCCGGUUGGGGCUACCA